GACGAACGCUGGCGGCGUGCUUAACACAUGCAAGUCGAACGGAAAGGCCCUGCUUUUGUGGUGUGCUCGAGUGGCGAACGGGUGAGUAACGCGUGAGUAACCUGCCCUUGACUUUGGGAUAACUUCAGGAAACUGGGGCUAAUACCGGAUAGGAGCUCCUGCUGCAUGGUGGGGGUUGGAAAGUUUCGGCGGUUGGGGAUGGACUCGCGGCUUAUCAGCUUGUUGGUGGGGUAGUGGCUUACCAAGGCUUUGACGGGUAGCCGGCCUGAGAGGGUGACCGGCCACAUUGGGACUGAGAUACGGCCCAGACUCCUACGGGAGGCAGCAGUGGGGAAUAUUGCACAAUGGGCGGAAGCCUGAUGCAGCAACGCCGCGUGCGGGAUGACGGCCUUCGGGUUGUAAACCGCUUUCGCCUGUGACGAAGCGUGAGUGACGGUAAUGGGUAAAGAAGCACCGGCUAACUACGUG
rnacentral:rRNA from 1 species